CGUGGGAGGUGUGUGGGAAGAGCAGCCUGUCGGGAGCCACUGUAGGUGAAAGGCAAGAAGAAGAGAUGGACUAUUAUGGGCCUUCAUGGGGGUCAUGCUGGGCUUUACAGAAGCCGAAGGGCCAAAGAUGGCCAAGCCUGAUUACAAUUCUGCUUUCGUGUCCAUGGCUUGAAGAAGGAAAGCAGCAUCUACUUCUCGGAAAUUGCGGAAAUAGCAUCAGCGGCGUGGGGAACGAAUGUAAGCAUGGUGGUUGAAGCAUCACGAUCACCCUGACCUGUGAGGACAAGUGUGUGGUCAAAGUCUGGUGGAGCUAGAUCUAAAGGAGCUCGGGCCCUGGGGACAGCAGGAACCUGCCCUCUGAGCUUUGGACCACCCUCCCCCAGAUGGGUGAGAAAUAAAA